rnacentral:rRNA from 1 species
GAUGAACGCUGGCGGCGUGCCUAAUACAUGCAAGUCGAGCGAACAGAUGAGGAGCUUGCUCCUCUGACGUUAGCGGCGGACGGGUGAGUAACACGUGGAUAACCUACCUAUAAGACUGGGAUAACUUCGGGAAACCGGUGCUAAUACCGGAUAAUAUAUUGAACCGCAUGGUUCAAUAGUGAAAGACGGUUUUGCUGUCACUUAUAGAUGGAUCCGCGCCGCAUUAGCUAGUUGGUAAGGUAACGGCUUACCAAGGCAACGAUGCGUAGCCGACCUGAGAGGGUGAUCGGCCACACUGGAACUGAGACACGGUCCAGACUCCUACGGGAGGCAGCAGUAGGGAAUCUUCCGCAAUGGGCGAAAGCCUGACGGAGCAACGCCGCGUGAGUGAUGAAGGUCUUCGGAUCGUAAAAUUCUGUUAUUAGGGAAGAACAAAUGUGUAAGUAACUAUGCACGUCUUGACGGUACCUAAUCAGAAAGCCACGGCUAACUACGUG